rnacentral:misc_RNA from 1 species
GAAUUGCGAUAUGUAUUGUGAAUUGCAGAUUUUCGUGAAUCAUCAAAUCUUUGAACGCACAUUGCGCCCUCUGGUAUUCCAGGGGGCAUGCCUGUUUGAGCGUCAUUUCUCUCUCAAACCUUUGGGUUUGGUAGUGAGUGAUACUCGUCUCGGGUUAACUUGAAAGUGGCUAGCCGUUGCCAUCUGCGUGAGCAGGGCUGCGUGUCAAGUCUAUGGACUCGACUCUUGCACAUCUACGUCUUAGGUUUGCGCCAAUUCGUGGUAAGCUUGGGUCAUAGAGACUCAUAGGUGUUAUAAAGACUCGCUGGUGUUUGUCUCCUUGAGGCAUACGGCUUUAACCAAAACUCUCAAAGUUUGACCUCAAAUCAGGUAGGAGUACCCGCUGAACUUAA